GACGUAGGGUGCGAGCGUUGUCCGGAUUUAUUGGGCGUAAAGAGCUCGUAGGCGGCUCGUCGCGUCGACCGUGAAAACCCGCGGCUUAACUGCGGGCUUGCGGUUGAUACGGGCGGGCUAGAGUUCGGUAGGGGAGACUGGAAUUCCUGGUGUAGCGGUGAAAUGCGCAGAUAUCAGGAGGAACACCGGUGGCGAAGGCGCCACUCUGGGCCGAAACUGACGCUGAGGAGCGAAAGCGUGGGUAGCAAACAGG
rnacentral:rRNA from 1 species